UUUAACAGAGAUCAGAAGAAAUUAGUUAAAGGCACGGCUGACAAAUUGAAGACGUGGGCUAUCAAACUCUUGGCGUCGUCAAAGAGCAACAACAGUCGAGAUUUGGUCUUGGACGAGUUCCCGGAAUGGCUGCAACGUUUCAGCAUCGACCACCGGAUCAAAGACACCAACACCAAGUUGAAGAGGAUCGCUAACGAGAAAAAAGAGCCUGUCAGUGUUUCAGGGCAGCAACAACAAGAAGGAAAAGAAGAAAAACCAUUCCGGAGAAGAUGAUCUCACUUACGGUCCGCGGGAUAACGUCAUUGGAUCAAGGCCGGAACUUUGGACAUGGAUUACUUCUGUCUCGGUUGUCAUGUAGAAAUUAUGGGCCCGUAUGUAUGGAACAUCCGCUCUUCUUUGGAAGUUUAUGCAAUCGCGAAUGGAAG